rnacentral:rRNA from 1 species
UACGGAGGGUGCAAGCGUUGUCCGGAUUCAUUGGGUUUAAAGGGUGCGCAGGCGGAAGGCUAAGUCGGGGGUGAAAGACGGUUGCUCAACAAUCGCAGUGCCUUCGAUACUGGUUUUCUUGGGUGAAGUUGAGGUAGGCGGAAUGGAAGCUGUAGCGGUGAAAUGCAUAGAUAGCUUCCAGAACUCCGAUUGCGAAGGCAGCCUACUGGACUUUCACCGACGCUCAGGCACGAAAGCGUGGGGAUCAAACAGG